rnacentral:tRNA from 1 species
UCCGGGAUCGUCUAAUGGUAGGACUGCAGAUUUUGGAUCUGCCUAUCUAGGUUCGAAUCCUAGUCCCGGAGCCC